UCCGGUGUGGUCUAGUGGCUAGGAUACCUGGCUUUCACCCAGGAGGCCCGGGUUCGAUUCCCGAUACCGGAA